rnacentral:rRNA from 1 species
UGCAAGUCGGACGGUAGCACAGAGAGCUUGCUCUCGGGUGACGAGUGGCGGACGGGUGAGUAAUGUCUGGGGAUCUGCCCGAUAGAGGGGGAUAACCACUGGAAACGGUGGCUAAUACCGCAUAACGUCGCAAGACCAAAGAGGGGGACCUUCGGGCCUCUCACUAUCGGAUGAACCCAGAUGGGAUUAGCUAGUAGGCGGGGUAAUGGCCCACCUAGGCGACGAUCCCUAGCUGGUCUGAGAGGAUGACCAGCCACACUGGAACUGAGACACGGUCCAGACUCCUACGGGAGGCAGCAGUGGGGAAUAUUGCACAAUGGGCGCAAGCCUGAUGCAGCCAUGCCGCGUGUAUGAAGAAGGCCUUCGGGUUGUAAAGUACUUUCAGCGGGGAGGAAGGCGACGUGGUUAAUAACCGCGUCGAUUGACGUUACCCGCAGAAGAAGCACCGGCUAACUCCGUGCCAGCAGCCGCGGUAAUACGGAGGGUGCAAGCGUUAA